GCGUUGCUCGGAAUGACUGGGCGUAAAGGGCGCGUAGGCGGCACACACAGUCAGGCGUGAAAUUCCUGGGCUUAACCUGGGGGCUGCGUUUGAUACAUGUGAGCUAGAGGAUGGAAGAGGCUCGUGGAAUUCCCAGUGUAGAGGUGAAAUUCGUAGAUAUUGGGAAGAACACCGGUGGCGAAGGCGGCGAGCUGGUCCAUUACUGACGCUGAGGCGCGAAAGCGUG
rnacentral:rRNA from 1 species